AACCUUUACAAUGCACGAAAGUGUGAUAAGGGGAUCCCAAGUGCUUAUGCAUUGCAUAGGCUUUUGCCAAGAGUAAAUAUCUUGGCGAAUAAGUGGUGGGUAAGACUGGUGCCAGCAGCCGCGGUAACACCAGCGCCACGAGUGGCAAUCGUUUUUAUUGGGUCUAAAGCGUCCGUAGCCGGUCUGACUAAUCUUUUGUGAAAUCGAUAAACUUAACUUAUCGGCGUGCAAGAGACACUAUCAACUAGGGACCGGGAGGAGCCAGAGGUAUUCCAGGGUGAGCGGUAAAAUGCUGUAAUCCUUGGAGGACCACCUGUGGCGAAGGCGUCUGGCCAGAACGGAUCCGACGGUGAGGGACGAAAGCUAGGGGAGCAAAACGGAUUAAAUACCCGAGUAG
rnacentral:rRNA from 1 species